CCUACGGGUGGCAGCAGUGGGGAAUAUUGGACAAUGGGGGCAACCCUAAUCCAGCCAUGCCGCGUGUGUGAAGAAGGCCCUCGGGUUGUAAAGCACUUUCAGUGAGGAAGAACGCCUGGUGGUUAAUACCCAUCAGGAAAGACAUCACUCACAGAAGAAGCACCGGCUAACUCCGUGCCAGCAGCCGCGGUAAUACGGAGGGUGCGAGCGUUAAUCGGAAUUACUGGGCGUAAAGCGCGCGUAGGUGGCUUGAUAAGCCGGUUGUGAAAGCCCCGGGCUCAACCUGGGAACGGCAUCCGGAACUGUCAAGCUAGAGUGCAGGAGAGGAAGGUAGAAUUCCCGGUGUAGCGGUGAAAUGCGUAGAGAUCGGGAGGAAUACCAGUGGCGAAGGCGGCCUUCUGGACUGACACUGACACUGAGGUGCGAAAGCGUGGGUAGCAAACAGGAUUAGAUACCCGUGUAGUC
rnacentral:rRNA from 1 species